AGUGAAGUCAAAGAGCGGCAGGUGUUAUCUUUUAGGUCACGGGCAAAUAGACCAAAUAGUUUUCGAGGAGGUUUUAGAGGGCCCAACAACUAUGGCUAUCACAACAAUAGUUUCAGGUAUAAUAUCGGCAAUACAAAUAGGCACAAUAAUGGCAAUAACACAAGGUACAAUAGUCAAAAUAAUUACAAUAGAAGUAACAACUUUAACAAUGGACAAAAUAACUACAGAAAUAGCACAAGCAAUCGUUCAGCAAGCAACAGAAAUAGCUCUUCUCGUUCGAAUUCUAGAAACACUUCUAAUAUUCGAUUUUUAAACGCCGAUGCCCCUCAGGAGCGAACACUGGGGGAGCAGGAGCUAAGCAAUUAAAAGUAGUUACCCCUGAAAAAUCAGUUUACUGCUUGAACCUUAACUAUUCUGACUUAAUUAAAUUAAAUUGUACCGAUUCUUACAAAUUAUGCUCGUUUCUCGAAGAUUCACAAGCAGACAUCUCUUUAAUCAAGAUUUCCAGUUUAGCAAGAAAUUCAGCAAUUAACAGUAGCAAUACCAUAAACAUCACUGGUGUAACAACUGAAACGGUUACAACAUUGGGAACUAUGACAGUUUUAAUAUACCUUCUGACGGCAUACUAGGCAAGGACUUUUUAAAGACGAACAGAUGUAUUAUUAACUACGCAAAUGACAGUAUAACUAUCGGCAUCGGGACAGAAAGCACUAAAAUAGCAAUUGUACACGGUUCAAAUACCGACACUUUAGUCAUUCCUCCAA